CCUACGGGGGGCAGCAGUGAGGAAUAUUGGUCAAUGGGCGAGAGCCUGAACCAGCCAAGUCGCGUGAGGGAGUACUGCCCUAUGGGUUGUAAACCUCUUUUGUCGGGGAGCAAAAGCCGGACGUGUCCGGCUGUGAGAGUACCCGAAGAAAAGGCAUCGGCUAACUCCGUGCCAGCAGCCGCGGUAAUACGGAGGAUGCGAGCGUUAUCCGGAUUUAUUGGGUUUAAAGGGUGCGCAGGCGGAUUUUUAAGUCAGCGGUCAAAUCGUGGGGCUCAACCCCAUCCAGCCGUUGAACCUGGGGAUCUAGAGUGUGCGAGAGGUAUGCGGAAUGCGUGGUGUAGCGGUGAAAUGCAUAGAUAUCACGCAGAACCCCGAUUGCGAAGGCAGCUUACCAAGCUACUUCUGACGUUGAGGCACGAAAGCGUGGGGAGCAAACAGGAUUAGAUACCCUGGUAGUC
rnacentral:rRNA from 1 species